UUGAACGCUGGCGGCAGGCCUAACACAUGCAAGUCGGGCGGUAACAUGGGACUUUGGUUCUGAUGACGAGCGGCGGACGGGUGAGUAAAGUCUAGGAAUCUGCCCAAUAGAGGGGGACAACGCGGGGAAACGGUAGCUAAUACCGCAUAACGUCGCAAGACCAAAGAGGGGGACCUUCGGGCCUCUUGCCAUCGGAUGUGCCCAGAUGGGAUUAGCUAGUAGGUGGGGUAAAGGCUCACCUAGGCGACGAUCCCUAGCUGGUCUGAGAGGAUGACCAGCCACACUGGAACUGAGACACGGUCCAGACUCCUACGGGAGGCAGCAGUGGGGAAUAUUGCACAAUGGGCGCAAGCCUGAUGCAGCCAUGCCGCGUGUAUGAAGAAGGCCUUCGGGUUGUAAAGUACUUUCAGCGGGGAGGAAGGGAGUAAAGUUAAUACCUUUGCUCAUUGACGUUACCCGCAGAAGAAGCACCGGCUAACUCCGUGCCAGCAGCCGCAGUAAUAC
rnacentral:rRNA from 1 species